UUUACCGACAGACAAAACAUUUCAAGUUGCCAAAACAAGCAAGCUUCUAUUUGCAAUGGAACAAGGCAUUGGCACCUUAAUAGGGAAGAACCUUGACACAAUCGAUCUUUCUGUCACUGGUGAAAGUUCCACAUCAAGGAAACAAGGUGAUGAGGUGGAUGAAAAUAGACGUUAUCAUCUCUCGUACCUGAAAAAGAGACCUAACCCUCAUGAUGAGGAUGGGAGUUCAGAUAUAGACGAGCCCAGGAACAAGCUUGGUUAUGAGGCCCUCACAGAAGAAGA